UACGUAGGGUGCGAGCGUUGUCCGGAAUUACUGGGCGUAAAGGGCUCGUAGGUGGCCAACUAAGUCAGACGUGAAAUCCCUCAGCUUAACUGGGGAACUGCGUCUGAUACUGGAUGGCUUGAGUUUGGGAGAGGGAUGCGGAAUUCCAGGUGUAGCGGUGAAAUCCGUAGAUAUUCGGAAGAACACCAGUGGCGAAGGCGGCUCUCUGGGACGGUACUGACGCUGAGACGCGAAAGCGUGGGGAGCGAACAGG
rnacentral:rRNA from 1 species